GGUCAGGACGAACGCUGGCGGCGUGCUUAACACAUGCAAGUCGAACGGGGAUAUAGCAGCGGAAGGCUUCGGCCGGAAGGUGGUAUAUUCGAGUGGCGGACGGGUGAGUAACGCGUGAGCAAUCUGUCCCGGACAGGGGGAUAACACUUGGAAACAGGUGCUAAUACCGCAUAAGACCACAGCGCCACAUGGCGCAGGGGUAAAAGGAGCGAUCCGGUCCGGGGUGAGCUCGCGUCCGAUUAGAUAGUUGGUGAGGUAACGGCCCACCAAGUCGACGAUCGGUAGCCGACCUGAGAGGGUGAUCGGCCACAUUGGAACUGAGAGACGGUCCAAACUCCUACGGGAGGCAGCAGUGGGGAAUAUUGGGCAAUGGGCGAAAGCCCUGACCCAGCAACGCCGCGUGAGUGAAGAAGGCCUUCGGGUUGUAAAGCUCUGUUAUAGGGGACGAAGGAAGUGACGGUACCCUAUAAGGAAGCCCCGGCUAACUACGUGCCAGCAGCUGC
rnacentral:rRNA from 1 species